rnacentral:lncRNA from 1 species
CUGCGGUCUUCCUGGUGCCUUCUAGUCCACACACCAACCCACGUCGUCAGCUUACACACAGACACACACAGACACACACACACACACACACACACACACAAACACUGGGCCAAGGGAGUUGCGGAUUUUCUGACUCCUUGUGCACUCAUCUGGAGGUGCGGAGUGGGUGCGUGCGCGCGCAUGCGUGCGCGCGCCCGAGAGAGAGCGAGAGAGAGAGAGAGAGAGAGAGAGAGAGAGAGAGAGAGAGAGAGAGAGAGAGAGAGCGUGUGUGUGUGUGUGUGUGUGUGUGUGUGUGUGGUGUAUGUACGCGUUUUCUCACGGUGGGAUGUUUAUUUCGGUGAACGCCAGGAAAGUGCAGUGUUAGAGAUCUGUCUGUGCUAGCUAGCUCGGGAGCAAACACGCCGCAAGCAACUGUAAUCAAUAUGUAACUUUCUUCAUCCUCAGAGAAAUCCCCGCUGUCCCCAGGCACCCAUGCAAGGAAAGUCACUUGAUUAUGAAAGUGUUUCAGAAGAAAAGCAGACGCCGGUGGAGAGAGAGGCAGUGUCUCGAAGGAGGGAACAAGCCUCUCUUAAGACAUGUUUUGCAGCUCCAUGAAACUGAAAUCUGGUUGAACAGUGUUUAGACUUCUACCUUUUAACCAUCUCCUAUCACAGCCCACAUUCAAGCUUUAGAAUCUCAAAGCUUGCUUUUGUCUGAACUGCUUUCACAAACAUCCACAAGUUACGAUCAGUUUUGGUUCUGAUCUAGCAGUUCUGGAGCAGAGUUAAGAGGGACAAAGGAAAACAAUCCGUUGAAAUAGAGAAGUGUGGAAAUAUAUGGCCCUUGUUGGAACUCCAUAUAUAGACCAGAUUGCUCUUGAACACAGAAAUAUCUGCCUGAUUUUUAUUCCUGAAAGCUGAGAUUAAAGAACUCAGGACCACCAGCCCAGGGAGAGCACCACAUACAGUGGGCUGGACCCAUCCCUAUUGAUCACUAAUUGAGAAAGUGCCUUGCAGCUGAUCUCAUGGAGACAUUUCCUCAAUUGAAGUUUCUUCCUCUCUAAUGACUCAAACUUGUGUUAAGUCGAUACAAAACCAGCCAGUACAGCUGUGUAUUGGCUGUACUGCUAUACAAAGGACUGUUAUAGUUUGGUGCAAAGUGCCUGUGAUCCACAAUCUCAUAUGUUUGAAAACCUGUACCCAGUUGGUGGAAUUGUUUAGAUAUUAUGCAAAGAAAUAGGAGUUGGUGAUGCUUGCAUCUAUGGCUCCUGAUUUCUUUCCUGUACCCCCAGAGCUCCCUGGGAUUAAACCACCUAUCAAAGAAAACACAUGGUGGGACUCAUGGCUCCAGCAGCAUAUGUAGCAGAGAAUGGCCUAGUCGGCCAUCAAUGGGAGGAGAGGCCCUUGGUCCUGUGAAGGUUCUAUGCCCCACUAUAGGGGAAUGCCAGGGCCAGGAAGCAGG